rnacentral:rRNA from 1 species
UACGUAGGGGGCGAGCGUUGUCCGGAUUCACUGGGUUUAAAGGGUGCGUAGGAGGGCAGGUAAGUCAGUGGUGAAAUCUCCAAGCUUAACUUGGAAACUGCCGUUGAUACUAUCUGUCUUGAAUACCGUGGAGGUGAGCGGAAUAUGUCAUGUAGCGGUGAAAUGCUUAGAUAUGACAUAGAACACCAAUUGCGAAGGCAGCUCGCUACACGAAUAUUGACUCUGAGGCACGAAAGCGUGGGGAUCAAACAGG